rnacentral:lncRNA from 1 species
UUGAUAGGGCUGGGACCAAUGUUGCUUCAAUUAAUUUAUUUUCUUUUAUAGCACAUGUUUCAGAGCACUUCAAAAGCUCGAUUCCCUAAUCUUUGGUAGAUCAGCAUGAGUCAGAAGCAUCUGCAGGAAGAGCGGGAAGGUGCCUGAGCAGCGUAUCCAGAGCAAGUAGUGGGCAUGCUGGUGCCAGAGGGAGCUCUGGCACUGCAGAGCCCAGGGGCACCAUGGACCAGCCCUGGCUGGGGAGAGAUCCUGGCCACGAAGGGACAGGUCCUGCCCUGUGUGGGUGCAACAGGCAAGUUCCAGGAGCUUCAGCGAAACAAAGAGGAGCGUCAUGGGUGCCAUGAGACCUGUAUUUUCACAGCAUUUCUGUCACUGCACCUGAUCCCAAACGCUGCCAUCAGCAAAGUCUGGGGCAGUUCCAAGCCCAAAGGGCCAGACCACACAGUGUGAGUCAACCAGAGAUGGGGCAGCCUCCUGUUAGUGGCUGGGAAGGGAGGGGUGAGCUCUGCCUGAGCUGAACACCCUCCAUCAGCACCGAAUACCCUAGUGGCAAAAAUAUUUCAUUAAUGUAAACUUAAAAUAGGGCUGGCAGUGUUUACCCAAAGUAGCAGCACGAAGCAGCAUCAUUGCAGGCAGCUGUGAGCUGCUGCAGGUGUAGCUGUGUGCCUGCACCGCUGCCACACUCGGGGGUUUUACCUACCCCGAGCCUGCUGUCACUCACCAGAGACCCCGCAGUCAGCUCUGCACGGUCACCUGGGGUUAGAGGCAGGGAGCACUAAUGCCCUUUGUUUCCCCCAGUAAAUUCUAUUUCCCUUCCCAUUGUGCAGAGCCGCUUGUCAGUGUAACCUUACACCCGGGGCGGGAGGCUUGGACAAAGGAACUUCGGUGGAGGCUGGCAAAUUACAGUCCUUUACUUGUGAAUGGGGACCUCACCAGAGAUGGGCUGAAGGAAAGCACCUGGUGUCAAUAAUUACACUUGAAAUGGGGGAAAAGGGCUGAAGGCAAGAGAAAGGCCAGGUGAUUGUCGUGGAUGGCAAAGGAAGGGCUUUUCAUGCGGGAGGAACAAACGCCCUGCUCAGGAGUCUGCUGGUGAUGGAAUGAAUAAUCUUUUCUCUUUUCCUGCUCAUUCUUUCCUUGACUUUUGGGGGGUUUUGUUCAUCCUCUGCUAUCUCCCCCUUUUGUUCUCAUUCCCAGAGCAACACCUGGAGGCAGGGACUGUCUCAGGAAAGGAACCCUAGGGUGGCUUAUUGCAACUGAGAUUGCAUUUCAAAUAACCUGUGUCUUAGUUUUUUCCAAGACCCCAUUGAUCUGCAGGCUACCUUUUAAAGGACUGAAGUAGGAAUUUGCUUUACCAGUCAUCCAAGCCGGAUUUCUUGGACCUGCAGCAACUCUGUGGCACUAAACUAAUGCUGUAAGUGAUGGUGGUGAUCCUUGACUUACCAGAGAUGUG